AACGAACGCUGGCGGCAGGCUUAACACAUGCAAGUCGAACGGUUGUAGCAAUACAGCAGUGGCAGACGGGUGAGUAACACGUGGGAACCUUCCUAGGGGUACGGAACAACUCAGGGAAACUUGAGCUAAUACCGUAUACGUCCGUGAGGAGAAAGAUUUAUCGCCCUUAGACGGGCCCGCGUCGGAUUAGCUAGUUGGUGGGGUAACGGCCUACCAAGGCGACGAUCCGUAGCUGAUCUUAGAGGAUGAUCAGCCACACUGGGACUGAGACACGGCCCAGACUCCUACGGGAGGCAGCAGUGGGGAAUCUUGGACAAUGGGCGCAAGCCUGAUCCAGCCAUGCCGCGUGAGUGAAGAAGGUCUUCGGAUUGUAAAGCUCUUUUACCAGGGACGAUAAUGACGGUACCUGGAGAAUAAGCCCGGCAAACUUCGUG
rnacentral:rRNA from 1 species